GACGAACGCUGGCGGCGUGCUUAAUACAUGCAAGUCAACUGAACUUUAGGUAGCAAUAUUUAAAGGGAGGUGGCGCACGGGUGAGUAACACGUAGGUAAUCUGCCUUCAGGACUGACAUAACUCCGCGAAAGCGGGACUAAAAUCAGAUGAUGCAGCGGCUCGACAUCGAGACAGUUGUUAAACCUUCGGGGCCUGAAGAUGAGCCUGCGUCUGAUUAGGUAGUUGGAGGGGUAAUGGCCCACCAAGCCUGCGAUCAGUAGCUGGUCUGAGAGGAUGAUCAGCCACACUGGAACUGAGACACGGUCCAGACUCCUACGGGAGGCAGCAGUAAGGAAUAUUGCUCAAUGGCCGAAAGGCUGAAGCAGCAACGCCGCGUGGAGGAUGAAAUACUUUAGUAUGUAAACUCCUGUAAGAGGGGAAAAAUAAUACAGUUCUGCUGUAUUGAUUGUACCUCAGAGUAAGCACCGGCUAACU
rnacentral:rRNA from 1 species